rnacentral:misc_RNA from 1 species
AAAGUCGUAACAAGGUUUCCGUAGGUGAACCUGCGGAAGGAUCAUUAAUUGUAUAACGGGGGCCGGCGAGGGAUUGCGCACUUCGGUGCGCCUUUCUUCCCCGCCCUGUCUGAUACUACCCAUGUCUUUUGCGUACCAAUUGUUUCCUCGGUGGGCUUGCCCGCCGGUUGGACACUAUACAACCUUUUGUAAUUGCAGUCAGCGUCAGAAAAACAUAAUAAUUACAACUUUCAACAACGGAUCUCUUGGUUCUG